UGGAAAUGCAAGUAAAAACCACAGGGGGAU
rnacentral:piRNA from 1 species